GACGAACGCUGGCGGCGUGCUUAACACAUGCAAGUCGAACGGUGAAAGCGGAGCUUGCUCCGCUGGAUCAGUGGCGAACGGGUGAGUAACACGUGGGCAACCUGCCCCUCACUUCGGGAUAACUCCGGGAAACCGGGGCUAAUACCGGAUAUGACCUCCUUGGGCAUCCUUGGAGGUGGAAAGUUUUUCGGUGAGGGAUGGGCCCGCGGCCUAUCAGCUUGUUGGUGAGGUAGUGGCUCACCAAGGCGACGACGGGUGGCCGGCCUGAGAGGGCGACCGGCCACACGGGGACUGAGACACGGCCCAGACUCCUACGGGAGGCAGCAGUGGGGAAUAUUGCGCAAUGGGCGAAAGCCUGACGCAGCAACGCCGCGUGCGGGAUGACGGCCUUCGGGUUGUAAACCGCUUUCAGCAGGGAAGAAGCCGCAAGGUGACGGUACCUGCAGAAGAAGCACCGGCUAACUACGUGCCAGCCGCCGCCGUAA
rnacentral:rRNA from 1 species